GGUUGCAUAUUUUCGUCGAAAAUACCGAUGAGACCCGCUCAACUUGAUUUGAAAUGAUUGGCUAUUCAUUGGAAUACACAGUGCCAUAUUUGGGUUACUGUUAAAAGUAGAUCGUUCGUUUUGUAUUCGAGAAGACUUGGAUGAAGAGGAUUACACAAUACUGAGGUGGAAAACAUCCGUAUAUAUGAUAAAAUAUAUUUCAGUAUUUUAAAGUAAAGGUUGUCAAAUGAACGGGACAUAUUACUGAUAUUACCUCUUAUAAACAAAACUAAUAAGCGUAGGACUUAUUCAGGGCAUUUGCAAUGUAUGGGAACCAGUCUACGAGGCAACAAAAAUUCCGCCAAGAAUAAACAAAGAGAUUGCGAGAUGUUGUUUACGUGUGUCACACGACACUGACUGCAAGAAACAAAGAGUGGAGAGCUAAUGCAUGGUGCUAAGUAUGGAAAGGUCUCUUGUGGUUUGGUUGUGCCAGAGACAAAUGUGCAUUAUUUCCAUGUUGGGUCAGAAGUCUCGGUACACUUUAGGUGAGUGGCAGUUGGGUAGAUGGAUGACCUUCAGAUAGUUUGAGAUGAAGUUCUUUUAAAUGAUUGAAAGUGAUCAUCAUAGAAUCAACUCCAUUAUGAAGAUAAAUUAUGAGAGUCAGCACUCCUUUUGUCCAACACCUGAGAGAUCUGAGUACCCAGCCUACUGUUGAAUUAAUUGGUGACCAAGAAAAGAUGACAGAGAGGGGAAUCAAAUAUGGAUGCCAUCAUGAUCAAGAAUAUAUACAUUGACUAGAAAAUAUCUGAAAAUAUAUAGAUGAACAUUCAAGCAUUUAUAAUAAUGAAAGUUAUUCAGCAAGAGAGUUUUUGCACAAGUUUAAUUUUCAGUAAAAUUGUGUAUAUUGUGCACUGAGGAACUUAGUAUGUAACUCAAUAUCAUUAUCCAUUUCUUUAGAGGAUGUAUUCGGAGUAUAUUUAAAUAAUCAUUAUUUUCUAGAAAAGAGCACACAAAACUUUUCUCUCUGUGCAAAGCAUGACACAUAUGAGUACACUCCAGCAUUUACCACAACUUUUCCAGGGCGUUUGAAGUCGAGCACAUACAUGAAAAUGUGUUAAGGUGGACACGU